AUGCACACUCACCUGUGAGAAUGUUCUGAAGCUCUGAAGCGUGGGGUACUGCAUGCACCCCAGGAAGACCCUGUCAUGGGAUUUCUGGAUGUGAUUGGAGAUGGGAUCAGUCUUUGAAGGAGACGCCUGCAGAACCCUGUCACAUUGACAGAUCUCCCGCCAGCAUCAUACAUUUUGCUGCAAGUGUGCUGACUCCUCCUCCAAGGAUUCUAUUUGUGGGAGGUGAUGCCAGUGUGGGACUAACCUGCAAAUGGCAGAAUGCAGGGUUCUACUUGGUUGGCUCCUGGAAUGCCCCCUCAUUGCCCUCCUCCUGAGGAGAAGGGGAGAAUGAAAUUGGCAAUCGCUGCUUCCACUGCUUGGAGACAACUGAGAAAAUGUGGGGAGCGUGUCAGCGUUCCUUCAGGAGGAAGACACAUGGGCUGAGGGGAUGGCAGCCCUGAACUCAGACCCCUCGCAGUUCCAUCUCGAAUGCGGUGGGAGUGAUCAAGAAGGGGCUGCCCGGCACCCAUUCCUUUCUCAGAGGGAGCACCGAGACCGGAGGCCAUGCUCUGGAAGAGAGAGACACUCAAGGUGGGAGCCAUCUGCAGCCCCCCAGCAGGACCAUCCUGCCCGACCAGCUUCCCCUUCGACAGGCUCGAUGAGGUAACGUCUCCAAAUGUCUUCGGUCAACUGUAAAAUGUUCGAUGUCGACGCGAGAGUUCCCUCUGACUUAUAAAGUGAAGUUACAGCAGUGUUAAAUGAAAAGCUCAGAUG